UACGUAGGGUGCAAGCGUUAAUCGGAAUUACUGGGCGUAAAGCGUGCGCAGGCGGUUCGUUGUGUCGGCGGUGAAAGCCCCGGGCUUAACCUGGGAAUGGCCGUUGAAACUGGCGAACUGGAGUGUGGCAGAGGGGGGUGGAAUUCCGCGUGUAGCAGUGAUAUGCGUAGAGAUGCGGAGGAACACCGAUGGCGAAGGCAGCCCCCUGGGCUAACACUGACGCUCAGGCACGAAAGCGUGGGGAGCAAACAGG
rnacentral:rRNA from 1 species